UGCAUAAAGCUAUUUUUGUUUAAAAUUCAAAUAAAACAAUAACCACAAAUACAUAAAGGCACAAUUUAGAGCAUUACUUGCAGACUACCAUAUACUUAUAUCAUCACGUGUUCCAAUUCCAAUACUGGAAGAAAACGGCAAAUGUGAAUAUUGAGUAAUCCCAUACUUGCUCAGCCAAGCCUAACAGAGAACCAGGCAUAGGAACAUAUUGAAUAUAAAAUAGGCUCGUGCUCUACUCUACAAGGGGGCUUAUUCCAUAGACCAACAAAUUGCUGUGCGACCUGUACAUUUUUGGACCAAAAUAAUGAAAUCAGAAAAUUUCUCUAAUCAAGCAUUUUUACAAUUCAGCAUUUUUUUAACUUAAAUUUUGCAAUUUCCUCAUCCAUUUUCCCACAAUUCCCAAUUUAAUGAAUUACAGCAUUAGUUUUAAAGAAUUUUCAGAAAAAUAACUGACAUUUAUGAGUCACAUGAAUAUACACAUUCACACAACAUAAUAGAACUAUAUCAAUGGAAUGCCUAGGUAGAUCAGAUAAAGAGCAUAUUAUAAAAGUACAAUUUUAAACACAGAUAAAUGAUUCCAUACAUGUUAAUUUGGAUUAAAAAAAAUAAAAGAUGUUUGUAAUGUGGACAGGGAAGGGCAUGAGAAAUAAAAUAGUACAACCCUUUUAAAGUGUAUUAUAAACAGGCCAAAUGUGCACCAGCGAAACCAAUGGAAAGUACCCUCUGUAGGGCUGGAAUAUUAGUUCUGCCCCAUGGAAUGCAUAUUUUUUAUAAGCUUCCUUCAGAAAAUCCACUGUCGUGCUACCCAAAAUUGUGGGAACUGUGGAAAACAAAAUAGGACAUUGCCCAUUUCAGGAGAUUUAUUUUUCCAAAUGAGCUAUUUUGGUUUAAA